GAUGAACGCUGGCGGCGUGCCUAAUACAUGCAAGUCGAGCGAACAGAUGAGGAUCUUGCUCCUCUGACGUUAGCGGCGGACGGGUGAGUAACACGUAGAUAACCUACAUAUAAGACUGGGAUAACUUCGGGAAACCGGAGCUAAUACCGGAUAAUAUAUUCAACCGCAUGGUUCAAUAGUGAAAGACGGUUUUGCUGUCACUUAUAGAUGGAUCCGCGCCGCAUUAGCUAGUUGGUAAGGUAACGGCUUACCAAGGCAACGAUGCGUAGCCGACCUGAGAGGGUGAUAGCCCACACUGGAAGUGAGCCAGGGACCAGGCGCCUAAGGGAGGCAGCAGUAGGGAACGUGCCGCAGUGGGCGGGAGCCUGACGCAACAGCGCCGAGUGAGAGGUGAAGGUCUUGGGAGAGGAAAACUGUGUUAUUAGGGAAGAACAACUGUGUAAGUAACUGUGGACGUAGUGACGGUACCUGAACAGAAAGCCACGGCUAACUACGUG
rnacentral:rRNA from 1 species